rnacentral:rRNA from 1 species
CCUAGGGGGGCUGCAGUGGGGAAUAUUGCACAAUGGGGGAAACCCUGAUGCAGCAACGCCGCGUGAAGGAAGACGGUUUUCGGAUUGUAAACUUCUGUUCUUAGUGAAGAAUAAUGACGGUAGCUAAGGAGCAAGCCACGGCUAACUACGUGCCAGCAGCCGCGGUAAUACGUAGGUGGCAAGCGUUGUCCGGAAUUACUGGGUGUAAAGGGAGCGCAGGCGGGAAGCCAAGUCAGCUGUGAAAACUACGGGCUUAACUUGUAGACUGCAGUUGAAACUGGUUUUCUUGAGUGAAGUAGAGGUUGGCGGAAUUCCGAGUGUAGCGGUGAAAUGCGUAGAUAUUAGGAGGAACACCAGUGGCGAAGGCGGUCUGCUGGACAGCAACUGACGCUGAGGCGCGAAAGCGUGGGGAGCAAACAGGAUUAGAUACCCCAGUAGUC